rnacentral:rRNA from 1 species
GACAGAGGGUGCAAACGUUGUUCGGAAUUACUGGGCGUAAAGCGUGUGUAGGCGGCCAUUCAAGUCGGAUGUGAAAGCCCCGGGCUCAACCCGGGAAGUGCACCCGAUACUGUAUGGCUUGAGUAUCGGAGAGGAUAGUGGAAUUCCCAGUGUAGUGGUGAAAUACGUAGAGAUUGGGAAGAACACCAGUGGCGAAGGCGGCUAUCUGGACGGUUUCUGACGCUAAGACGCGAAAGCGUGGGGAGCAAACAGG